UACGUAGGGUGCAAGCGUUGUCCGGAAUUAUUGGGCGUAAAGAGCUCGUAGGCGGUCUGUCGCGUCUGCUGUGAAAACUCAGGGCUUAACCCUGAGCUUGCAGUGGGUACGGGCAGACUAGAGUGCGGUAGGGGAGACUGGAAUUCCUGGUGUAGCGGUGAAAUGCGCAGAUAUCAGGAGGAACACCGGUGGCGAAGGCGGGGUCUCUG
rnacentral:rRNA from 1 species